rnacentral:tRNA from 1 species
CCGCAGUAGCUCAGUGGUAGAGCUAUCGGCUGUUAACCGAUCGGUCGUAGGUUCGAAUCCUACCUGCGG